rnacentral:rRNA from 1 species
UACGUAGGGUGCAAGCGUUAAUCGGAAUUACUGGGCGUAAAGCGUGCGCAGGCGGUUUUGUAAGUCUGUCGUGAAAGCCCCGGGCUUAACCUGGGAAUUGCGAUGGAGACUGCAAGGCUUGAAUCUGGCAGAGGGGGGUAGAAUUCCACGUGUAGCAGUGAAAUGCGUAGAGAUGUGGAGGAACACCGAUGGCGAAGGCAGCCCCCCUGGGUCAAGAUUGACGCCUCGAUGCACGAAAGCGUGGGGAGCAAACAGG